GGUCCUAGCCUUGAAAUCUAUUAUUACUUUAAUUAUACAUGCAAGUCUCAGCACCCCUGUGAAAACGCCCUUAAAUUCCUUAUAGGAAAAAGGAGCUGGUAUCAGGCGCAAUAAUUAGCCCAAGACACCUAGCUUAGCCACACCCACAAGGGAUAUCAGCAGUAAUCAACAUUGAACAUAAGCGACAGCUUGAUUCAGUAAAAGUAAACAGGGCGGGCAAAUCUGGUGCCAGCCGCCGCGGUUAUACCAUGUGGCCCAAAUUGAUUUCUUUCGGCGUAAAGAGUGAUUUAAGCACUACCACCCUGUAGUUGAACUAUUAUUUAGUUGUAAUAAGCUUAUAUUUAGGAAAUUCAUAAACGAAAGUUACUACACUCAAAACAACUUGAACUCACGAUAGCUGAGACACAAACUAGAAUUAGAAACUCUACUAUGCUCAGCCACAAACUCUUAAUUACACUUCAAACGCCAGGGAACUACGAGCAAAGCUUAAAACCCAAAGGACUUGACGGUGCCCCAUAUCCCCCUAGAGGAGCCUGUCCUAUAAUCGAUACCCCCCGUUUAACCUCACCAUUUUUAGCCUAAUCAGUCUGUAUACCUCCGUCGUCAGCUUACCACAUGAGUGAUAUAAUAGUAAGUUUAAUGUCUACUCUCGUCAACACGUCAGGUCAAGGUGCAACUAAUAAAAUGGGAAGAGAUGGGCUACACUCUCUAAUUUAGAAUACACGGAUAAUUAUUAUGAAAACUAAUUUCAAGGUGGAUUUAGUAGUAAAAAAAGACUAGAGUGCUUUUUUAAAAAAGGCCCUGGGGUGUGUACACACCGCCCGUCACCCUCUUCAAAGCCCACACCACAGUCACUAACAAAACUCUGCAAAGUAGAAGAGGUAAGUCGUAACAUGGUAAGUAUACCGGAAGGUGUGCUUGGAAA
rnacentral:ncRNA from 1 species